CUCUGUCUCUCUUCUUCAAUGGCGUCUUCGCUCUUCUCCUACUGCUCCCCUCUCUCCCUCCACCUCUCUAAAUCCAAGCGAACCCCCUCUUUCUCCAUCUCUCCUACUUCCCCAAAUCCCCAUAACUUCCCUUCUUUCUCUCAGCCGUCACUGCAGCCCCAUCGUCUCCUCGGCCCCUUUCCUUCUUUCCCUUUCAUGUUCUCAAUUUCUGAUUUUUUUUCCUCUAUAUUUUCACUUUUUUUUGUUAAUGAUGUUGUGCAUUGUUGUUGAAAUUGGUUAAUAGAUUAGAGAUGCAGUUAGAGAUGUUGCAAGCUACUUCCCAACGGCAAUUGUUGUUGAAAUUGGUUAAUAGAUUAGAGAUGCAGUUAGAGAUGUUGCAAGCUACUUCCCAACGGCAAUCUUAAGCCGAUGAUAAGGUGAUGGAUUUUUUAUAUUGUAUGUCUCGUGGAUUGGAAGCAGAAUUCUUAGCAGUUAAUUUGUAAGCACUACUCAUUUGACUGAUUAAGAACCUGGUGUUAUAUGUAUCUUACGGCGAACUUCUGAUCAUCUCCACGUGUGCAUCAGGUAGCCCCAGGAUGCAGCUACAUAUAAUGCUUGUCGAAUGUAGCAGGAGGACGAGUAGAUGAGCUUUGUGAACCUGUUUUACCUUCUACCGCCACAACCGUUCUCCCUCUGGCAGUUGAAGAACAUUGCGGCAACAGGUGGCCCGAGGUUGUAAAGUGCUGCAAAGUCUCUUGUGUUGAAGUUCUGUCGCCAUCCAGGCGCAUAAAUUGUUUGCCGAACAUCUUGUCGGAAGAGCACAAACACAAUGCGAUGAAUCCCUGCUGUUGGCCGCGGGUUCUCGUAGCUGACUAUUUCAUUUCCUGGAAAUUAGAAGGCAAAGCGAAACUCUUGAGAUUUAUCAGUGAAUCAGAAAGGUUUUAGCUGAUUGACUGAAUUGAUCCAGAGACUACACCAAAUAUAUGAGGAAGUGCAUGGAAUGUAUGAGUCACAUGCCUUACAAAGAUGAAAGCAGAGAAUUCAGCAUGAGGUGUUAUUUCCAUGGAGCUAGUGAACAAAGACAGAUGAUACUCUUAGUUGUACUCAUCAACAAUGUAUGUGCAGUGGUUAAUGUUGUAAAUCGACAAGUUUUCGUAUAUCUUUCCCGUUGAUUGUUAACUCGAUUUGAUAGUUUUGUUUAUGUUGUAACUAAUUCUUGAGUAUCAGGUACCGUCCUUUGUUGGA